ensembl:lncRNA
AAGCACGGAGCUCCUAACCCUCCAGUCUCUGACAGAGGGACUCAAUUUUGCAGAGAGACCCUGAUUACAGGGCUGGUCGGUGAAAGUGCCAGGAUUCCAACCCCGGGUCCCAGGGUCGUGUCCUCCACCGUGCCGCUCUGCCUUCAGCCUGGGGGCUGCGUAUCUUACUCCCUGGAUGCUGGGAGCUGAGCUGCAGAGGGUGAGGGCAGGAUUCCACGUAUCCAGCAGGUUUCUCCAAGACCCACCCAGCCUGUGACUGGACCCUGGGGCCCGAGGUUGGAGCAGGGCAUGGGUGAGGCUCUGGAGGGCAGUUGGGGGUGCAGGGAGCAGGAAGUGGACACUCCAGGGAAAUGUCUUCCACCUGCUGGAGGUACGAGAUCCCAUUUGAGUGACCGUUUCCACUGCACAUUCUACUGGCCAGAACCACAGACAGCUGAGACCCUCGAUUCCUCUUGAAUGACCCCAUGGCUUCCAUGCCUCCUUGAAAUGUUUGGAGCAAAAAGCCUUCACAAGGGUGGUCAGGAAGGGGACACAG